rnacentral:lncRNA from 1 species
CUGCCAUUAAGAGUUCUACUUGGGGCUGGGGAGUUAGCCAGUGGUUCUGGCGCCUGCCUUGCAAGCGCAAGGUCCCAAGUUCGUUCCCCUGUACAAAAAAAAGUUCUAACUGGACCCUCUGUUUCCAGCCACACUACUACCAAAUUAAUCUCCCUUUAAGGUCAGAGGUCUGAAAAUGCUGGAGGGGCUGUGGGAAAAAAAGAAUCCUUCUCCACUGGUGGUGGGAGUAUAGACUCGUGCAACCACUGUGCAAAUCAGUGUAAAGAUUUCUCAAAGAACUAAAACUACAGGUUUCAUUUGACCCAGCUAUACUUCUUCUUGGUAUCUUCCUGAAAGAAUUAAAGCAUCAUACCACAGUGAUAUAUGCCUACCCAUAUUUACAGUGGCACAGUUUGGAACAGCUGCAUCUUGGAAACAGCCCAAAUGCCCAUCGACCACUGGCGAAUGGCUAAAGAUAUGGGGUUUUUUUGUUGUUGGUGUUGGUUUUUUUUUUUUUUUUUUUUCUUUUGGUACCAGGAUGGAACUCGGGACCUUGCAUUUGGAAGGCAGGCAGUGGCACCAUUGAGCUAAAUCCCCAGCCCCAGAUAUGUUUUUUUUUUAAUACAACGGAGUACUACUCUGUCACAAAGGAUGAACUUCAGACAUUUACAGCUAAAUGGCUGGACCUUGAGACCAUACUCUUAAGUGAAAUAAAUUGGACACACAUGUUUAAAUACUUCAUUGUUUCUCCAGAGUAAGAAAUCUAAAACGGAAAUAAGGACUAAAAUGUAUAAUAGAUAUUGGGAAAUGGGAAAAAAAUGUUCAAUGAGAAGGGGAGCAAGGGAGGAGAGGGAGAAAGGGACAAGAACGUGAAAGUAGAAUGGAAAAACGGAAACAGCUUUUGUACAUAGGAGGGGAGGGUGGAAUGGGAAAAGAGAUGGGAUAUAUCAUGUAGAGGUGCAAAUUCCCUAUGAUGAAUGUUACCAUUAUGUAUGCCUAAAAUGUACCAAUAACUGUUUUGCUAUAAAAACAAUGAUCAGAAUGAGUUUUCCAAUCUAAAAAAAGUGAUUUUUAAAAGCCAAAAGAAAAAAGUCAGAGGUUCGAAAUGUUGGAUAAUUUUGUCACUCUCUGACGGUUUUGUUUGUCAUAACUGUGUCUGUGCUAAUGGAUUCUAGUAGGUGGGCGGAGCAGGAAGGCUGCUGAACAUCCUGCAAUGAACAGGAUAGUCCCUACCACAAAAAAGAAUACAGAUGCUCAGAAUUCUUCUCAUUCUAAGAAGGCAAGAAUGGAGGCCAGCAAUGGAAAUAAAGGUCCAGAGAAAAGGAUUUCAAAUGAACUCAAACAGGUGUGCUUCUGGACCUGAAUAAAUUAUAUGUCUAUAAUAUUAGCAUGCAAGGUUGUUGAUCUACGGGUCAGAACAAUUUUUGUUUGCCUGGAAGGAUGUUAAUGUCAUUA